GUGGAGCGUCUCCUGGGAAACUUUGGAAGCAGAGUAAUAAAACUCUUAGCGUGCCUGUGCCAAGUUGGGACAUCUGCUCACCUUAUCACAGAUAAGUGGGGGUUUGUCCCAGCAUCUGUUAGAAUUAAUCCAUUUUGCAAACACAGUUAUCCUAAUCUCCUAAAUAUGCCCCUUUGCACAUCAGCGAUGCACAAUAUUGCUCUUUUUACGUUGUUUUGUUCUGUUACAUGUUAGCCUAAAAGGCUGAGCGUCACUGAAGAGCAGAAGAGACCGUUGUCCAAAAUGGCUCAAGAGCACAGAGGCCUCUCAGCGUACCUACAAUCUCCACAUGCAUAUUCAUGAGGCGCCCUCUUCCUUUUGUUGCCUGCCUAGUCAGCAGUCACAAAACACAUGGUGAGGGUUGGCAGUGCCUUGCCUAGGUAGAGAGGGGCGGUGGAUGGAGGCAAUGGCAGGAACCGGGACCUGUGAGGGCUGACUGACGUUUCCAUCUGUGGCGAAGGCUGGUAAUUAUCGGGAAGAGGAGCGCCCGCAGCAGCGCGCCAUCUGCUAAGGGGGAAACGGCUCAAUGAGCUGUGAGUGGGGGGAGGGGGUGCUGACACUCCUGAGCUCGCUCACAGAAGAGUGGGAGGUGUGAACAGGAAGUACCGCCCAACCUGCUCUCCGCCCAGAAGUCCCACCCCCUCACAUCCCAAACUGGAUACCAUUGGGGAGAGACAGUUUCAUCGGCAAGACGUGGCAGGUCUGGUGACGGUUCAGAGCAGUGAUCUUCCCCUCCGUUUCCCUCUCUUCUUUCUCCUUAUCUUUCCACACGCCAGAUCUUUCAGGGGCUGCAGGAGUCUGCACGGCAGAUGGGUGCCUUGCUUUUACAUCUCACUUGAGGGAUGGAAAAAACAGCACAAUCUGCGACCCACAAUGCAGCAUCAGUGGAGCCGUGCAAACGAAACAGGGAAUCGAUGCAAGGGCACAGCCCAGAUUCUUAACAAUCCCUUUGAAUCUCCACUUCCCCCUGCCUGGCCCUUCAAAGUGUGCCCAAUGUUUUAUUUAUCCGACGAAAUAAAGAGCCCGGCACAACAGAGUACCCCUUCUGUUUGCUGAAAAAGUCGGCCGUUAUCGAGAACGAGGGGAGGGACGGUGGGGAUUCGCACACGUCUUUGAGAAAGAACUACAAAUCCCAACAGGCUCGGUGGUGGAAACGGACCAGCUGUCCAUGGUUUUGCAGAUCAGAUCCCGUUGUCUUGAUUAUGAAAUCACAAAAUAAUGAGGAGUAAAGUGCAGGCAUGAGUGUUUUCUCCUUUGUUCUUGCUUUUGACAGAAGUUAUUUUUCUCCCGUUGCCUCCAAGCUGUGGUCUGCGGUUGCCAAUGUUUGGUGCAGGACUGCAUUUGUUCCCGCAGACAGAAGAGAAGACUCGUGGCCUUGCCCUGUUUAAAGCUGUCAUCCAACUCCCGCCUUGUGUUUUAUUCAAUUUUGACUGCGGCCCAUACGCCUCCCAUACCAACUGUCAUCAUCAAAAUUGCAAAAGUCCAAAGCAAUUAGACUUUUUGGAGACUCUCGGUUAACUUCUGUUGUGUUCUCGCAUUAUAUUAGAUAGAGAGAUGCACUACUUUAUGAAAAAAAAAAACUGAAUCUUCUUGCAAAGGCAGUUUUUGAGUAUUGUUCUUGCAAAGUUUCAUGGAUGACACAAUUGCAAUCUGUCUUGUCUGGAUCUGGGCUGCAUUUGCCAAAAGCAUUGUACGCCUAAGUAGAUGGUAGAACCGUUGGCACUGAUGGUCUCUCCGAACAAUUUAGGUUUAUGAUGCUUCUGGGAAAUGCAGCCGGAACUGGUACGAUUUCAUUUGGACUAAAGUAAAAUGAGGUAAAAUAAUUGCUUCAGUCCGACUGAAGUCGAACUUUUAGAGUCAAUUCAAAUGCACUUACCGAUGCACUCAUCUAUGGUUGAGCACAAGCACCAACCACGACUUCCUAAAAGCUUUCAGAGUUGACUUCCAUAAUGACUGGCUAAUCUUCUAGUUUCUAGACAAAUAUGAACUUUUUACGACACAGCAAAUGAGCAAAUCACAGCAGGCACUGAAAGCAGGCAGCAUUGUCAAAAAAGAUUUAGAUAUGAACAAAAAAGCUGACAGUGUUAAUAUGGAACCAGAAAGAGGAGCGCACCCUGGCAUUCACUCAAAUUUUGCACCUGCACCUUAACAAAUGGAGCUCUCCUGUGUGCCUCUCUGGCUUUCUCUGACUCCAUCUCUCAUUUCUAUUCAGCAAAAACUCUCGUUCUGUCCUACACCCAGGCUCUGGGCGACAUUUUUGGGGAGUUUCUUCUGCUCAGUGUACUGUGCGUGCAUUAAUUUGGGCCCGUCCCUGAGGAAGCGCAACAAUGAAGUGGACCUGUUUGGGAACAUGGUGCCAAGAUUGGGGGAUGACACAGCGAGGAGUUAGAGACACCUGGUCCGCCUGAAGGGCAAGCGGAAAACUUCUUCCCCCUUUCCCUCGCUCUGAGAAAACAGCUGCUGAUCAGCAUCUCGCAGCCAUCUUACCAUACUGGCUCAACCCAGGCCAUCAAUCAGCCAACACCUCCUGGGUGAGAGAGAGAGAGAGAGAGAGAGUGAGCAAUGAGCAAUACCUCAUUUGUUUUGGCAUAGGUGCUCGGUAUACUUUCACAUGGGUCUCACGACAGUUUUGGCUGGUUUCAGAUUAUGACUGAUAUUGAAGACACCUUGAAAUCAUUUGAUGUACAGUUCUCCCGUGUUGACAUGUUUUGCAGGACCAGGCCAACAAUAAUAAUAAUAAAAAUAUAUAUUUUAGUGCUGACA
ensembl:lncRNA